ensembl:lncRNA
GGACUGAGUAUGGAUCUGAGAGGUGAUGGACUCACGCGUAAGCGCGUGUGUGUGUGUGAAAACUUCUGAUAUUUUUUUUUACACCAUAACACUGAGUGUGCGCAAGUUACUAGCUAAGUCUUAUAGGUGUGAUGGAACGUGACAGUGAAUUUCUGCACUUCAUUUAAUUUUCUGUGUGAGUCGAUGCCAAAACAGUUUUUGCACCAUGACGCACGAGUAGGCUGCAUUUAAUACACUGAGUAAGAAGUACAGAAGUGAUAUGAUUUGGAUAGUCGGGAACUGACAUUUUUUCUGAGUUCUGGGUUUUUUCCCCAGAAUUUAUGUUAUAAAAUACCUUAAAAAUAAAAACAAGACAAAUAUAAACACACAAAAUGACUUUAAAAGUCUAACAUUGUCUGUUCUACGAGUGGUUAAUAAAAUAGAGUUCUGCUAAAUGUUGUAUAGGUAAGAUGGUUUUAAUGUUGCUUUUUUAAUUUCUUUCUCAUGUUUGCCUCACUGCUAUAGUCUCCUCUGCGCUCUGAAAGCUUGUGUAGGUACACGCAUAUUUAGUAUGGUACAUUGCUUUUUUUUCAAUUAAUAGUCAGUAUUGCAGCCGAACCUGCAGUGUAACCAUUCAUUAUGGCUCUGUGACACUUAGAGACUUUCUUAAGGGAGAUAAUAGUAAUUAUUGGUUUGCUGUAGUCUGGUUGUCCGGGGUGGCACGGCUCUCUCCCUUGAGAGAUGGGCGCUGUCCAGGGUGCUGGAGAUGCUGAAACGCAGAGGUGUAAAGGUCAUAUUUCUUUCUUUCUUUCUUUCUUUCUUUCUUUCUUUCUUUCUUUCUUUCUUUCUUUUUUUCUUUCUUUCUUUCUUUCUUUCUUUCCUGUCUCCCACGGGAACCGUUCACACAUCACAUUUGGGCACAGUGCCCCUCACCAACACAUGUAGCUCUACCACCUAGAUCCUCUCCAAUCACUGAGACAUGAAGAGCAAUGUCAUCCUUUUUCUUGGUAUCGCAUCACGUUAGUCUCGCGUCCUUUCUGCUAAACGAGCUUAGAUUAGAAAUACCUCAGCCCCCUUUUUAGAGUUCAGCUGUAGUGAGGUGGCGGCCGCUUUAAACUGAGCAGGCUUCGACGUCAGAGCCGUUUAAGACAUGUGGUUUUGAC